rnacentral:lncRNA from 1 species
GUUAGAAAUAUGUCUCUUUCGUGCCCCAUUGCUCAGAAGGCUUAUGUAAAUUCAAUAAAUCGCUGACAAGAAAAAGCCCAGAGCCGGUCUUCAGAGGUUAUUAUGCAACACAGUGAAGUGAAUCCGCCUCCAUCGAAGUUGUUUGAGACGGAGAUUUUGGUGUUGCGAAGAACUAACUGCUUCACGAAAGCACGGAUUUGAAGAUGAUCUUGUGGAGGCAACAUUCAUAACUUCUAAAUUUAUGCUUCAAAGUAGAGACAAAGGAUUUGCACGAGAUAAAUUCGCUCCAUGCCUCAAUCUAGGACAUAAAGCUCUCAAAUGCUGGUUCAUUAAGACAAAUGACUAAUUACCCUGGAUCUCUACAAAAUUUCUUUCAAAUUUUCUUGUUUCUCCUUAAAACUGGAAACUUAAAUAUGCUCGUAUGAUUCAUGAUAUAAAAUACAUUACUGUUGCGCUUGUGAAUCUUACUGCUGAAGCAUCAUAUUAAUGCAAUUUAUUAGCAAUGAAACAAAAAUUAUAUUUCGAUGAGGAUUCUGCCAGGAAGACAAGUCUUUCGGAAAGAAAAGAUUAAAAAAACAAUGAUUAAUAUGAUUCUACGUGAAAUUGCUCAUACCGCUUUUUUCAUUGUUGCUAUUACCAAAUAUUACUGGACUUGUCCUGGCAAAAUGAAAAAUUCAACUGCAGGAGGAAAAUAUUUGUCACAAAUCUUGUGAACAAGCGAUCCAGUGAAAUAAAUAUGCAACUAGGCCUUGAGUUGCCCCUCUGCUGUUUUU